GCGAAUGCUGACAUAAGUAACGAUAAAGCGGGUGAAAAGCCCGCUCGCCGGAAGACCAAGGGUUCCUGUCCAACGUUAAUCGGGGCAGGGUGAGUCGACCCCUAAGGCGAGGCCGAAAGGCGUAGUCGAUGGGAAACAGGUUAAUAUUCCUGUACUUGGUGUUACUGCGAAGGGGGGACGGAGAAGGCUAUGUUGGCCGGGCGACGGUUGUCCCGGUUUAAGCGUGUAGGCUGGUUUUCCAGG
rnacentral:rRNA from 1 species